AUUGAACGCUGGCGGCAUGCCUUACACAUGCAAGUCGAACGGUAACGGGUCCUUCGGGAUGCCGACGAGUGGCGAACGGGUGAGUAAUAUAUCGGAACGUGCCCAGUGGUGGGGGAUAACUGCUCGAAAGAGCAGCUAAUACCGCAUACGAUCUGAGGGUGCAAGGGGGGGAUCGCAAUACCUCACGCUAUUGGAGAGGCCGAUAGCAGAUUAGAUAGUUGGUGGGGUAAGGGCCUACCAAGGCAACGAUCGGUAGUUGGUCGGAGAGGACGACAAGCCACACUGGGACUGAGACACGGCCCAGACUCCUACGGGGGGCAGCAGUGGGGAAUUUUGGAAAAUGGGCGCAAGCCUGAUCCAGCAAUGCCGCGUGCAGGAUGAAGGCCUUCGGGUUGUAAACUGCUUGUGUACGGAACGAAAAGCCCCGGGUUAAUACCCUGGGGUCAUGACGGUACCGUAAGAAUAAGCACCGGCUAACUACGUGCCAGCCGCCGCAGUAA
rnacentral:rRNA from 1 species